CAUUGACAGCGAACUUCUGCCCUCCGGGGGUUCCUCCAUUUGUGCUCCCUUCGCUCAGACAUGGUGAACGGGUAUUGGUAACGCGGGCGUUACCGCUACAAGAGAGGAUCCCUCGGCAUAGAGCCGGAUGGGGGCACCCAGAUAGUGUUCCUCUGCUGUUAUCACUGGUCCCGAACCCCAAUUCGUCAUUAUUUCCAAGGGAACCGAGGAAGCCCGAGAUUUAGACUCACUUUCACGGGUCCCUGUGUUGACAAGACCAGCACUGGGGGAAUACGGAAGGAUGCUGGCUUGUUUGUCCAGGCAAGCUGACCGAGCAGUUCACCAGACAUCUGCAAACACAGGCCGGAAUUCCAGCUUUGCACUAAGACUCAGCAUGAACAAAGCCCAAGUUUCAUUUCUUGGACUGUAGGAGUGCUACAAUUCAUCCUUUAAGUGGCCAUUCAUUUUUAUGUUCAGUAAGCACUUUCACUGCAAAGUGAGACGUCCUUUAAAUGACAUAUGGUGAGUAGUGAAGUGAUUCUGGACAUGGCUUGGAUGCCACAGUCUCACUUGUCAAAAUGACUUUCUGGGUGGAACAUCUUAGACACAGAAUUAGAUGUGUAGGGCUACAGGUGUGUGUGUGUGUGUGUGUGUGUGUGUGUGUGUGUGUGUGUGUGUGUUUGCAUUUCUUCCCUAUUCUUUAUAAGAUUUCCUGACCUAAGCCACAGAUGUCAACCUCACCACCUACAUGGCAGCUACUGGGAGCUCUGGUAUUCUCACAGUGGGGAUUUAGAGCUAUGAAAUCCUGGGAGUCACUGCUUUGGGCUUAUGCUUUUCUGAGUUUUUGUUUGUUUGUAACAAGGCAUCACUAUGUAGCCUAGGCUAGCCUUAAACUUUCAGUCUUCCUUUCUCUGCCUGCCCAGUUCUGGGAUUAUAAGUGUGUGCCACCGUGCCUGCCUGGGUGGCUUAUUAAAGUUCCAAAUGGAGUCAUUGCCUUCUGUCCAGACUUGAGUAAUCACAGGCAUGUGUAAGGGGUGGUGGGAUCUGUAGACCCAAAGUGGAAGAAAUUCUGCAGGACACUGCCUUGCUAGAUCUCAAGUGGCUGGACCAAGGAGAGGUUGAUGCAUCUCCACUACUAAGAAACAAGCAUUGCGAACCGUGAGAUGUCCUGUCCAAUAGUGUGGGGUGGGUCACGUUGCCUUUAGAUGUCAACACUGAAGAUACAGUUGCAUCCUUGUUCCUCUCAACCGGAGCAUAUUAGGAAGAGCACAGCGUGGAAACAGAAGACCCAGAUUUGAACCUCGGCUCUAUCACUCACCUGAUAUGGGUUUGGAGCAAGACAACUUUAAAGGGACUUGAGCUGCUUUAUGUUAGUCAGCUUUUUACGGCUAUAGCAAAACACCUGAAACAAUGAAAAGGUGAGAGGGUUGAACUUAACUGUGCUUUCAGAACUUCUCAUCCUCAGUCGCCUGACUCUAUUGUUCCUGGGCUGUGGUGAAGCAAGGCACCAUGGUGGAACCAAGCUACUCACUUUAUGGCCACCAGGAUCACAGGAGAGGCAGCUUGUAUGUGAAGAGAUCCAAAGACAAGAUAAACUGUUUCAGGAGCUACUCUCAAUGACCCACUUUGUUUAACCAAGUCUUCCCCUCCCCCACAGCUCAUUCAAUUGUGAACUCUUCAAUGAAUUAAAAUCCACUGAUGAGUUUAGUGCCAUAUGAUCCAGUCACCUCCCAAGGACUCUCUUCUGAACAUUGAGACAAUGGGAUCAAGCAUUUAAUACUGGAGUCUUAGAGACACUUCCUAUCCAAACCAUAAUGCCAUCCACGUCAAUGAAUGUGAAAGUACUCUGUAAGCUUAAAGCGCUAAACAAAUACACAUAUUGAGGAGGCUAGCUUUGCACGUCACCUGAUUGACCCAUGAGAUAUAAAGUAGUAAAGUCAUAGUAAUAGACAUAUCACCAUCGA